UGGGGAAUUUUCCGCAAUGGGCGAAAGCCUGACGGAGCAAUACCGCGUGAGGGAGGAAGGCUCUUGGGUUGUAAACCUCUUUUCUCAGGGAAGAAGACAAUGACGGUACCUGAGGAAUAAGCAUCGGCUAACUCCGUGCCAGCAGCCGCGGUAAUACGGAGGAUGCAAGCGUUAUCCGGAAUGAUUGGGCGUAAAGCGUCCGCAGGUGGCUGUGUAAGUCUGCUGUCGAAGAGCAAAGCUCAACUUUGUAAAGGCAGUGGAAACUACACGGCUAGAGUGCGUUCGGGGCAGAGGGAAUUCCUGGUGUAGCGGUGAAAUGCGUAGAGAUCAGGAAGAACACCGGUGGCGAAGGCGCUCUGCUAGGCCGCAACUGACACUGAGGGACGAAAGCUAGGGGAGCGAAUGGGAUUAGAUACCCCAGUAGUCCUAGCCGUAAACGAUGGAUACUAGGCGUGGCUUGUAUCGACCCGAGCCGUGCCGUAGCUAACGCGUUAAG
rnacentral:rRNA from 1 species